UACGUAGGGUGCAAGCGUUAAUCGGAAUUACUGGGCGUAAAGCGUGCGCAGGCGGUUAUGUAAGACAGGUGUGAAAUCCCCGGGCUCAACCCCGGAAACUGCCAUUGAUACUAUCUGUCUUGAAUAUCGUGGAGGUAAGCGGAAUAUGUCAUGUAGCGGUGAAAUGCUUAGAUAUGAACAUAGAAUCACCAAAUUGCGAAAGGCAGCUUAC
rnacentral:rRNA from 1 species